CUACGUGCCAGCAGCCGCGGUAAUACGUAGGGUGCGAGCGUUAAUCGGAAUUACUGGGCGUAAAGCGAGCGCAGACGGUUACUUAAGCAGGAUGUGAAAUCCCCGGGCUCAACCUGGGAACUGCGUUCUGAACUGGGUGACUAGAGUGUGUCAGAGGGAGGUAGAAUUCCACGUGUAGCAGUGAAAUGCGUAGAGAUGUGGAGGAAUACCGAUGGCGAAGGCAGCCUCCUGGGAUAACACUGACGUUCAUGCCCGAAAGCGUGGGUAGCAAACAGGAUUAGAUACCCUGGUAGUCCACGCCCUAAACGAUGUCAAUUAGCUGUUGGGCARCUGAUUGCUUAGUAGCGUAGCUAACGCGUGAAAUUGACCGCCUGGGGAGUACGGUCGCAAGAUUAAAACUCAAAGGAAUUGACGGGGACCCGCACAAGCGGUGGAUGAUGUGGAUUAAUUCGAUGCAACGCGAAGAACCUUACCUGGUCUUGACAU
rnacentral:rRNA from 1 species